UAAUAAGUGUUUUAUGGCACUUUUUAAAUCCAUACCCACCUUGUGUGCAAUGUUGGUCGAUCUUCUUUUUUUGAGGAUCGACCAAACAUCAACCUUUAUCUUUUAACUCUUUGUCUGAAAAAUAUUAUGAAUAAACAAUUCAAAAUA
rnacentral:misc_RNA from 1 species